AUGUUGAUAUGGUUGGGGGCUAACGAUGCUCAUACUUCAAAUGUUGUUUUGAUCUUGGCUGUGGCGUUGAUUCUCUUGGCUAUACCAAAGCUCUUCUCUGGUGAACAAGAGGAAGAAGCUGAAGAAGAGAGUGGUUCCUCACCUUUUGUACUACCAAUAAUUGUAAUUCUGAUCCUGCUAUUGGUGUCAUGGUUGGGAAGUUCUAGAAAAAGGGUUUGUGUCAAGCCAACAUACUGUCGCUGCACCCAUGCCUGCUACUGUUACUGGUAG